CACGUAGGGUGCAAGCGUUGUCCGGAAUUAUUGGGCGUAAAGAGCUCGUAGGCGGUGUGUCACGUCGGCCGUGAAAACCUGCAGCUUAACUGUGGGCGUGCGGUCGAUACGGGGCAUCACUGGAGUUCGGCAGGGGAGACUGGAAUUCCUGGUGUAGCGGUGAAAUGCGCAGAUAUCAGGAGGAACACCGGUGGCGAAGGCGACUACCUGGCCUGUUUCUUGACGGCUGAGGC
rnacentral:rRNA from 1 species